AUUGAACGCUGGCGGCAUGCUUUACACAUGCAAGUCGAACGGUAACAGGCCUUCGGGUGCUGACGAGUGGCGAACGGGUGAGUAAUGCAUCGGAACGUGCCCAGAGGUGGGGGAUAACGCAGCGAAAGCUGUGCUAAUACCGCAUGUGAUCUGAGGAUGAAAGCGGGGGACCAGGCAGCAAUGUUUGGCCUCGCGCCUUUGGAGCGGCCGAUGUCAGAUUAGGUAGUUGGUGGGGUAAAGGCCUACCAAGCCGACGAUCUGUAGCUGGUCUGAGAGGACGACCAGCCACACUGGGACUAAGACACGGCCCAGACUCCUACGGGAGGCAGCAGUGGGGAAUUUUGGACAAUGGGCGCAAGCCUGAUCCAGCAAUGCCGCGUGCGGGAAGAAGGCCUUCGGGUUGUAAACCGCUUUUGUACGGAACGAAAAGGCUCUGGCUAAUACCUGGGGCUGAUGACGGUACCGUAAGAAUAAGCACCGGCUAACUACGUG
rnacentral:rRNA from 1 species